GGUAUCACAAACGAAAGAACAGUUUUUAUAGAAUAAAAACAUCUCUCACACACACACUGCUGAUGCAGAGAGGGAGUGAAGGACAAACAAUCAGAUCAUCGGACAAACAGCCGAAAGAUCAAUCAGCAGCACAAGGAGAGGCGCCCAAAGAGUGGGAGUGGAGCGGAGUGCGCUGCAUGACUGCUCAAUCAUGAUUGCAUCAAUUGGAGCAUUAAAACAGUUGCCAAGGAAACCGCCGACCCUGAUGGUCUUUCUGCCGCCCUCGCUCUGUACAUUGUCACGUUUAAUGAUUAAAGAGACUCGCCGUGUUGAUACCCUGUAUUUAUGUUGCUGAUUGGAUGUAUGAGAGAACGAGUUGAAGAGCCAAAGAUGGAUCAUUUACAUAUGUAUGUAUAUACAUAUGUUGGACUUUUGUAAGAUUAGUACCCAAACAAGUAAGUGGGAAAAGGGGCAUCUAAAGCUCGCAUUCCUUUGUGGGUUGUGUGUUUGUGUGUGAUUGGUUGACACUCCCAAUUAUCAGAAGUGUCACAGUUGCUGCUGUUAGCACUUCCCCUGAUGCAAUGCACCUACUCUUCCCCUCCACCGCAUCGAUAGGUGACUUAACAUGGGGAACUGCAGGGAUCGGGACUCACAUCAGCUUUGAUUAACUUUAUGGCAGGAAAUUCUCAAAAACCAGAUUAACACAAAAACAGUAAGCGAUAUGUAAAUUCAAAUGACAAAUCGCAAAGAAACAAAAGGCAACAAAAGGCGAAAUUCAAUUACUUCCUGAAGAGACAGAACAGAACCUUUUGGGAGGGAGAGCUGCUUGGAGGAGGAGCAUCGCCAACUCGAUGGAAAGAGAAGGCAAUACACAAUGCCUUACAACUGCGAUUCCAAUUAGCAUCUGUCGAUGCUGCCACCUGCCACCUGCCGCCUACCCCGACCCAAUACCGCCAACCCAAAACCCCCCUGAAGCCGACCCACCGACAUUGUCAAUUGAAAGCAAACAACAGCCCAAACAAUCGAAAAAUCAACCGAAAGCCGAAACGAAACUCCCGAUUGUCAAUAAAUUGUGUAAAUAAUUGCUCUACACAUAUUCACGCGGCAAUAAACAAUUUAAUCAAAGAGUAAUCAUCAAAAUCAAUUUCAGUCAGCGGAAAUCGCAAUCAAAAAUCAUCCCACCAUUUCGGAAACUAUUGAUGGAAGGGAUGUAUGUGUGGAGACCCCAAAAAGUAUACGGAAUGUACAUAGUACAUAAUCGAUAACUGAAGCUAUUUGAGAAUUAACCAUAAUCAAAGAUGAUCCUGAUCAAGAUCGAUGCUAUAAUCGAUGAAAAUUGGGGGGAUAACCUUAAUUGGCAGCCCAUAAAUCGACAGAAAUCGAGUGCUUAAAAGGCAUUCCAGGACUCGCACUCACCUUUGUCUUGGUCACAAUGUUGGUGGCCAGCUUCACCACAGCGAAGUUUCCCUUCCCGAUGGUCUUCUCCAGUUCGUAGUAGCCGACGCGCAGGAGCUUGUCCACGGAUAUCUUGCUGGUCGAUGGCACUUUGUAGUUUUGUGGCGUAGACACUACUGCUGGAACUGCGACUGAUGGUGCUGCUUGUGUCGGUGUGGAGGCCAUCUCUAAGACUGGCUUUCUCUCUCUGUGUUGUGGCUGGGAGCUCGGAUUUGGGGUAGGGGGAGGGAAUAGCGUUACUCGAUCCCGCUUCCGUAAUUGGCCUGUCGUCCACGCAGGAAAUUCACUUAAACUGCAUUUUCUUUUGUCAUCGCUUUGGACAUGGAGUCGGUCUGUCACAUUCAAUGCCUGCUGGCGGCGCUCUCACACAGAUACACAUGCACACAAAUACGGACGCGGGUCGGGGGAGAGAGCAGCAGCGCCGCCAGCAACAACAAGAACAGACACUAAAUUCUCUCUCCUCUCUGGCUUCCGCACGAAAAACUUUAAUUGAAUUGUUGCAUUAACCACACUCUGCGGCUGCUCCAACGGAUGCUCACCAGUGGGCAGUGGGCCAUGCCCUUCCUGUGUGGGCGCUGGGGCACGUGUUGCAGGUACACACUUUUCUUCCUUUUUUUUUAUUUUCAAUUAAAUUUAUUUAUCCAAUUAUUUUGUUGUUUCCACU